rnacentral:rRNA from 1 species
AUUGAACGCUGGCGGCAGGCCUAACACAUGCAAGUCGAGCGAGUGGCGGACGGGUGAGUAAUGUAUGGGGACUGCCCGAUAGAGGGGGAUAACCACUGGAAACGGUGGCUAAUACCGCAUACUAUCGGAUAACCCAUAUGGGAUUAGCUAGUUGGUGGGGUAAAGGCCCACCAAGGCGACGAUCACUAGCUGGUCUGAGAGGAUGAUCAGCAAAACUGGGACUGAGACACGGCCCAGACUCCUACGGAGGCAGCAGUGGGGAAUAUUGCACAAUGGGCGCAAGCCUGAUGCAGCCAGGCCGCGUGUAUGAAGAAGGCCUUAGGGUUGUAAAGUACUUUUAGCGGGGAGGCGUUACCCGCAGAAGAAGCACCGGCUAACUCCGUGCCAGCAGCCGCGGUAAUUC